UGGGGAAUUUUGGACAAUGGGCGCAAGCCUGAUCCAGCCAUGCCGCGUGCGGGAAGAAGGCCUUCGGGUUGUAAACCGCUUUUGUCAGGGAAGAAAUCUUCUGAGUUAAUACCUCGGGAGGAUGACGGUACCUGAAGAAUAAGCACCGGCUAACUACGUGCCAGCAGCCGCGGUAAUACGUAGGGUGCAAGCGUUAAUCGGAAUUACUGGGCGUAAAGCGUGCGCAGGCGGUUUUGUAAGACAGAGGUGAAAUCCCCGGGCUCAACCUGGGAACUGCCUUUGUGACUGCAAGGCUUGAGUGCGGCAGAGGGGGAUGGAAUUCCGCGUGUAGCAGUGAAAUGCGUAGAUAUGCGGAGGAACACCGAUGGCGAAGGCAAUCCCCUGGGCCUGCACUGACGCUCAUGCACGAAAGCGUGGGGAGCAAAACAGGAUUAGAUACCCCUGGUAGUCCACGCCCUAAACGAUGUCAACUGGUUGUUGGGAAGGUUCCUUCUCAGUAACGUAGCUAACGCGUGAAGUUGACCGCCUGGGGAGUACGGCCGCAAGGUUGAAACUUAAAUGAAUUGACGGGGUCAUAGCUGUUUU
rnacentral:rRNA from 1 species